rnacentral:rRNA from 1 species
GACGAGUCUCACGAACGUUAUUCGGAAUUACUGGGCUUAAAGGGUGCGUAGGCGGUGGAGUAAGUCGGAUGUGAAAUACCUUAGCUUAACUAGGGAACUGCACUCGAUACUACUUUGCUAGAGUAAGACAGAGGUGAGUGGAACUGAGGGUGGAGCGGUGAAAUGCGUUGAUAUCCUCAGGAACACCGGUGGCGAAGGCGACUCACUGGGUCUUUAUUGACGCUGAUGCACGAAAGCUAGGGGAGCAAACAGG